rnacentral:ncRNA from 1 species
AGAAUAGUCUGUCAAUUUAAAAAAACUCAAUAACUUCUGUAUGAUGUAUAUCUCCCUAAUUGGGGCGUUACGACGUUCUAGAAACGUAGUAUGAAGGCGCAGAGGCGUUAGAACUAAAGU